rnacentral:rRNA from 1 species
GACGAACGCUGGCGGCAUGCCUAACACAUGCAAGUCGAGCGAGCUGAUUCCUUCGGGAUGAAGCUAGCGGUGGACGGGUGAGUAACACGUGGGCAACCUGCCUCAUAGAGGGGAAUAGCCUUCCGAAAGGAAGAUUAAUACCGCAUAAGAUUGCAUCUUCGCAUGAAGAAGCAAUUAAAGGAGCAAUCCGCUAUGAGAUGGGCCCGCGGCGCAUUAGCUAGUUGGUGAGGUAACGGCUCACCAAGGCGACGAUGCGUAGCCGACCUGAGAGGGUGAUCGGCCACAUUGGGACUGAGACACGGCCCAGACUCCUACGGGAGGCAGCAGUGGGGUAUAUUGCACAAUGGGGGAAACCCUGAUGCAGCAAUGCCGCGUGAGUGAUGACGGCCUUCGGGUUGUAAAGCUCUGUCUUCGGGGACGAUAAUGACGGUACCCGAGGAGGAGGCCACGGCUAACUACGUGCCAGCCGCCGCCGUAA